GCCGGACCUGACUGCUAUCGGAUUGAUACUAAGCCAUGCGAGUCAUUGUAGUAAUACAAGGCAUACGGCUCAGUAACGCGUAGUCAACCUAACCUAUGGACGGGAAUAACCUCGGGAAACUGAGUAUAAUGCCCGAUAGAACAUUAUGCCUGGAAUGGUUUAUGUUCCAAAUGAUUUAUCGCCGUAGGAUGGGACUGCGGCCUAUCAGUUUGUUGGUGAGGUAAUGGCCCACCAAGACUAUUACAGGUACGGGCUCUGAGAGGAGUAGCCCGGAGAUGGGUACUGAGACACGGACCCAGGCCCUAUGGGGCGCAGCAGGCGAGAAAACUUUGCAAUGUGCGAAAGCACGACAAGGUUAAUCCGAGUGGUUUCUGCUAAAGGAACCUUUUGUUAGUCCUAGAAACACUAACGAAUAAGGGGUGGGCAAGUUCUGGUGUCAGCCGCCGCGGUAAAACCAGCACCUCAAGUGGUCAGGAUGAUUAUUGGGCCUAAAGCAUCCGUAGCCGGCUCUGUAAGUUUUCGGUUAAAUCUGUACGCUCAACGUACAGGCUGCCGGGAAUACUGCAGAACUAGGGAGUGGGAGAGGUAGACGGUACUCGGUAGGAAGUGGUAAAAUGCUUUGAUCUAUCGAUGACCACCUGUGGCGAAGGCGGUCUACCAGAACAUGUCCGACGGUGGGGGAUGAAAGCUGGGGGAGCAAACCGGAUUAGAUACCCGGGUAGUCCCAGCUGUAAACUAUGCAAACUCAGUGAUGCAUUGGCUUGUGGCCAAUGCAGUGCUGCAGGGAAGCCGUUAAGUUUGCCGCCUGGGAAGUACGUACGCAAGUAUGAAACUUAAAGGAAUUGGCGGGGGAGCACCACAAGGGGUGAAGCCUGCGGUUCAAUUGGAUUCAACGCCGGG
rnacentral:rRNA from 1 species